UGGCUUUGGUCUCCCCUCUCCUGCCAGGAUGCUGGUUGCGUGGGGCAUGCAGCGAUGUCACCAGGAAGCGCUAAAGAGGAACCGAGUGGUGCUGGCAAAACAGCUGGUUUUAAAAGAAUUGGUGGAGCAUAUGAUAGAGAAAGACAUCAUCACCACGGAGAUGAUGGAAAUGAUACAGGCCAAAUCUGGGAGCUUCAGCCAAAAUGUGGAAUUCCUCAAUUUGCUGCCCAAGAGAGGCCCUAAUGCCUUCUCAGCCUUCUGUGAAGCUCUGCGAGAAACAAAACAGCAGCAUCUGGAGGCAAUGAUCUUGAAGACAACAUCUAACCUGAGCCAUGGGAUUGCAAGGCUUGAACACUGUAACGGAUCAAGUCUUCCAUUCCCUGCCAGUGAAUCAUGUAAUUCAAAGAGACCGCGCUGGAUUGAACCAAUGGAACAUUCCUUGGAUAAUGGGGAUGGUCCCUCAAUUCCUCCAGUGAAGUACUGCACUCCUGAAUUUUAUCAUGAUCAUCAGCAUUUGGCAUAUAAACUGAUAUCAGAGCCCCGAGGCUUAGCACUUAUUCUCAGCAAUGUCCAUUUCAGCAGCGAGAAGGACUUGGAGUAUCGUUCAGGGGGAGAUGUGGACUGUACUUCCCUGGAGAUGCUUUUCAAGCAUCUUGGGUAUCAAGUGACUGUCUUUCAUGAUCAAACUGCACAGGAGAUGCAGAAUGCAUUGGAGAGAUUCUCUAAGAUGCCAGAUCACCGGGAUGUGGAUUCCUGUAUUGUAGCUUUACUUUCCCACGGUGUGGAAGGUGGGAUUUAUGGCAGUGAUGGCAAACUACUACAGUUGCAGGAGGCUUUCCGGCUCUUUGAUAAUGCAAACUGUCCAAAUCUCCAGAAUAAGCCCAAAAUGUUCUUUAUUCAGGCCUGCCGUGGAGGUGUAAGUGGGACCCAUAUUCACCUCCCUCUGCCCUGCUGCUGCCACUGCAUCUGUUGCUCUAUGAGACGGACCGGGGAGUGGAUCAAAGAGAUGGGAAAGAAUGGUCAGAUUCCCCAGGCUGUGAGGAAAGUGAUGCAAACAAGGAAGAAAAUCUCAAGCUGCGUCUGCCUACGUGCUCUGAUAUGAUCUGUGGAUAUGCUUGUCUGAAAGGCACUGCAGCCAUGCGAAACACCAAGCGUGGAUCCUGGUAUAUUGAGGCUCUCACCUCUGUGUUUGCAGAGGACUCACGAGACACUCAUGUGGCUGACAUGUUGGUGAAGGUGAAUAGGCAAAUCAAGCAACGAGAAGGUUAUGCCCCAGGCACAGAAUUUCACCGCUGCAAGGAAAUGUCAGAAUACUGUAGCACGCUCUGUCGGGACCUUUACCUGUUUCCUGGCUAUCUGCCAGGAAAAUAACUGCCAGCUCUGUUGGAAGAGAGAUGCUGCCAAAGCUGAACUUUGAGUAUGGAUGUCUAUGUUUUCAUUCUUAUGGGCUGUGACAUCAGGUGCACAAGCAAGGAAUGCUUGUUUAUAUCUGGCCAGUCCAAUUCUUGAUGUCUUUUUCUAAAAUAAUCUGGCAACUCUCUUUGUAAUCUGAUUCAGUUCAGGGUUUAAAAUUCUAAUAUCCUGACUUAUUCCAUAUGUACAGAAAUUGAUGGAAAGAGGAUCAGCACUGGAACUGGGAGGAAGUGGGAACAUCCUUUGGAAGGAGACACAAGGACGUUUGUAAGCAAAGUGAAUAUGAAAAGGGAAACAGACUAUUCAUACAUUUUUUUUUUAAAGUUAAGCCUUUCUGAAAGGAAAAUUAUUCAUACAAUGCUACUUAUCUUAUGCUUGUAUUUUAAAAUUUUUAAAUACUUUCUGCCUGGUUCUUCAUGCAGGACAGUCAGCUCCUGUGCACAUUAGAAAAGGACUCCCCUGUGAAGGAGAAUCCUUCCCCUCUUUAAAAUGGAAGGUUUUUGUUUUCAUUACUUGACACUUCCCUAUCCAUCUUGAUCACUUAAAAGUCUAUUUUUGUACAUUCCUUCUGUAGCCGCCAAGUUAUGAAGAGAACUACAAGACAUCCCAGGUUAUCAGCAAAACAAAUAGAGAUCCAGGAUUUCUCAAACAGACAAAUAAGCCUCCAUAAACUGCCCAGAAAUAGUUUUGAAUCUAGAAAUUCUAGAUUAGCUCCCCUUAGUCCCAAGCGUGAACAACUGCAUGGAAUAUUACUUUUGAGGAAUUUGUUUGCCAUAGUACUUGUGUGUCACAACAGGCAUAGCAUUCAAUCCACCAACUUCUCAGGAGUCUAUAAAUUGUACUGUACAACUGAAUCCCUGAAACCCUACAGCCUUGUACAAAAGGGUCUUGUGUCUUUUGUUUAAUUAACAAAAAUAGUCAAGGCAGCUCUUUACAGUCUAAGCGUGUUGCUUGGAUUAUUUAUCACUGCAGUUUGUUUCCCUUUUAAAUGAAAGGGAACUGUUUCACAUUAUUACCUUGUUAUGUGAGUUUUCUUUCUUCAGCCAUGAUCACUUAAAGCUGUUUGUUUAGUCAAUAUUGUUUGCAAAGUGUCAUUUCAACUGGUCAAUAAGAAAUGUUGUGGCAUAAUCUAUCACUUCUUUUGGAAAUUUCCUACACGGUCUCUUCAUGCUGUAAUUUGUCUCUUGCUUGUGUCCAGUUGCAGUUACUCCCAUUUGAUGUGAUGUGGGAGAUGGGCAUUGUUCUCUUUUUGUGGUAGAGCCUAAGUCCUGAUAUACUGGGUUACAUAUGGACUACAGUCUGUUCACUUGAGUCCCGAUCUUCUCCAUUUUGUAGCAGUAAGUUGGCAUAGUUCCUGGCUUACUCUUUUUAUGUAAGUGUGGCUUUUAAAGUAUUUUUUUAAGGAUAGAAUUAUGAAUAGGAAGUACAAAAGGAUCUGGAGGGAGGCUGGAAAAUUAGGCAUGUGCUUUUUUUAUUGUUCUGCCUAGGAAAAUGAAGGCUGUGUUUCCUCCAGCUGACAAAGGUGCAGCAUUAUCAUGCAUCUUGCACUUACCUUACACACAACGUGAUAAACAGAAUAAGGAUCAUACUUGCCAAUUGGUGCCUUACUCUGAAGUUUAAGAUACCAGUUGAGGGGGGCUGUUGUACCUCCCUGGAGUAUAAACACUUUCUCCCUGAGUGCUCCCUCUUUGAAAUGGUGCAAUAUUUUACAGAUACGUAUAUUGAUGAAGCGGUCCACUCUGAUGGAUUAGAUUUCUGUAGGAUUGCAUCAAGUUGCAUUAUCACUGCCACUUUCGUAUAUACUUUUUGUAUACUUGUAUUUUACUGCCUUGAGGUGUCAAAAUAAAGAAUUCUUGUUUGA